AUCGCUUCUCGGCCUUUUGGCUAAGAUCAAGUGUAGAAUCCACUUUUAAACUGGGAGUACGGGUCUUCAUUUCUUCCAUGAUUUUUACCAAAUACUUUUGGCUGACAGGUUUCCAUCCUCCAUUUUAUUUAUUUGGUCUCUUUGAAAAAUCAAGUCCAUUAUCUUCUUUUGCAUAUCUGGAGCCAGAGGACACAUUAG